CGGAGCCAGGAGUGGGGCGUUCUGGUCUAGGGCGCCGCAGUGUCUGGGAUGCGGAGAUUCUCCCCCAGAGGGGAGACCCAGCUCCUGCGCAUGCCUCUACUUUCCCGCACGUGGUCCAUCACCGCAGCCCUUCCAGAACCCACAUUCACACCACCCCCUUCCUCCCCGCCACCGCAGUCCUGAGCGCAUUUAACCAGAGUCAAACCAAAACAGCUUAGACGAGGGAGACCCCAAAGGGGAGAUGCUACUAUAAAUUGGAACAGACUGUUGGAGGGCCGGUGCAUGAGGCACGUGGAAGAUAUGUGACGCUCCUAUGCGGCCCCGGGCGAACCAAGUGGAGGAAGGCCAACGGGGAAAGUGCCAUGAUAAAGGCCUGGAUGCCCUGGAGUUCAAGGGAGCACUGGCUGACGCUUGAACUUCCAGCCCUCCUGGGGGCCCAUCUGGACGCUUUACCUGGACCCGGACCUCGGGAUAGGAACAGAAUCAGUUUACAUUUUGGAAACCUCACCCUGCAAUUUGGAGAGGAGCAAGACGCAGCGUCAAAAAGCUACUUAGGAGGUCAGGGGAGGAACUGAGCACGGCUAAGACUUUAAUCUAGUCAACAGUUUUGGUGACCACAAAGGGACCCAGAGCAGACUACUUUGCCUGAACUCUAAGAGGAACCAGAGCCUUGGUACCAGGAGAGGCCUCUUGGCCCAUCCACUUCCUCAGAGUCUAGAUGAAUUUGGAGACUGGAAACGCUUAAGCUCUCAGCAGCUUUACAAGAUAAAUUAGGGCCCCUGCACUGGACUGGCCUAUAGAUAGAAGACUGCUGACCUCAAUCACCGUAAAACAAUGCUCAGAGGAGAAACUACCAGACCAGGAUGAGAAGACUACGACACGAGAUAAGGACUGGUACAGAACAGACUAAGUCCGAUGACCUGGGGGGUACACUGGACCACACCCAAG